rnacentral:lncRNA from 1 species
GGUUGCCAUGGAAACAAGUUGCUCUGAUUUUGGUUGAAAACCGCCAAAAAUGCUCGAUGAAAACUCCAUUUUUACCCUUUUUUACCGCUUUUUUUGUAAUAGACUGGACACAUCUGUCCCCAGUUUUUCUUUUGCUAUCAAACUAUUAUCUAUUAGUGUUUCAAAAUACAUUUGAAAGUUUGGAAAGUUCUUUCAUCUAAAGUAAAAAUUUUGAAAUUCAAAAUUUGAUGUUUUUCCAAAAA